UCACCUACGGGGCGCAGCAGUCGGGAAUAUUGCGCAAUGGAGGAAACUCUGACGCAGUGACGCCGCGUAUAGGAAGAAGGUCUUCGGAUUGUAAACUAUUGUCGUUAGGGAAGAGAAAGGACAGUACCUAAGGAGGAAGCUCCGGCUAACUACGUGCCAGCAGCCGCGGUAAUACGUAGGGAGCGAGCGUUGUCCGGAAUUACUGGGUGUAAAGGGAGCGUAGGCGGGACGGCAAGUCAGAUGUGAAAACUGAGGGCUCAACCUUCAGACUGCAUUUGAAACUGCUGUUCUUGAGUGAAGUAGAG
rnacentral:rRNA from 1 species